rnacentral:rRNA from 1 species
GUGCCAGCAGCCGCGGUAAUACGUAGGUGGCAAGCGUUAUCCGGAAUUAUUGGGCGUAAAGCGCGCGUAGGCGGUUUUUUAAGUCUGAUGUGAAAGCCCACGGCUCAACCGUGGAGGGUCAUUGGAAACUGGAAAACUUGAGUGCAGAAGAGGAAAGUGGAAUUCCAUGUGUAGCGGUGAAAUGCGCAGAGAUAUGGAGGAACGCCAGUGGCGAAGGCGACUUUCUGGUCUGUAACUGACGCUGAUGUGCGAAAGCGUGGGGAUCAAACAGGAUUAGAUACCCUGGUAGUCAAGGGCG